rnacentral:rRNA from 1 species
CCUACGGGGGGCUGCAGUGGGGAAUAUUGGGCAAUGGGCGAAAGCCUGACCCAGCGACGCCGCGUGGGUGAUGAAGGCCUUCGGGUUGUAAAGCCCUGUCAUGCGGAAAGAACGACCCUGUGACGCAUACUCACAGGGAGUGACGGUACCGCAGGAGGAAGCACCGGCUAACUCCGUGCCAGCAGCCGCGGUAAUACGGAGGGUGCAAGCGUUGUUCGGAAGUAUUGGGCGGGUAGGGUACGUCGGCGGUGAAAUACUCCGGCUCAACCAGAGAACAGCAUCUGAAACUGCAUAACUAGAGUACAGAAGAGGGAAACGGAAUUCCCGGUGUAGAGGUGAAAUUCGUAGAUAUCGGGAGGAACACCAGUGGCGAAGGCGGUUUCCUGGUCUGAUACUGACGCUGAGGCGCGAAAGCGUGGGGAGCAAACAGGAUUAGAUACCCCUGUAGUC